rnacentral:rRNA from 1 species
UGAGGGAAUAUUUGGGUCAAUGGGCGAGAGCCUGAACCAGCCAAGUAGCGUGCAGGAUGACGGCCCUAUGGGUUGUAAACUGCUUUUAUAAGGGAAUAAAGUGAGCCUCGUGAGGCUUUUUGCAUGUACCUUAUGAAUAAGGACCGGCUAAUUCCGUGCCAGCAGCCGCGGUAAUACGGAAGGUCCGGGCGUUAUCCGGAUUUAUUGGGUUUAAAGGGAGCGUAGGCCGGAGAUUAAGCGUGUUGUGAAAUGUAGUGGCUCAACCUCUGCACUGCAGCGCGAACUGGUCUUCUUGAGUACGCACAACGUGGGCGGAAUUCGUGGUGUAGCGGUGA